UUACAUCUACAAUAUUUCAUUUAUUGUCUAUUAUACAUUAACAACAUUUACCCAAAUCUGUACUUACCAGGAAACAUGACAUACACAACACCCAAAAGGCAAGGCGGGAAUCGAACGCACGACCCAAGGUGUAGUGGGCAAGCACGAAGCUAACUAACCCACCUGGGUCCUCAAAUCAAAUCCUCAAUAUGAAAUCAUCCUGAUUACAAUGUAGUGAACACACUUUCAUGUGCUUUGUUGCUGGUUUUCCCAUAUUUAGCUUUACCAUCCAAGUCUUAUAUCUGUCCAUUUUUUUCCC